rnacentral:rRNA from 1 species
CCUCGGGAGGCUGCAGUGGGGAAUAUUGGACAAUGGGCGAAAGCCUGAUCCAGCCAUGCCGCGUGUGUGAAGAAGGUCUUCGGGUUGUAAAGCACUUUCAGUGGGGAAGAAAGCCUUGGGGCUAAUACCCUCGAGGAAGGACAUCACCCACAGAAGAAGCACCGGCUAACUCCGUGCCAGCAGCCGCGGUAAUACGGAGGGUGCGAGCGUUAAUCGGAAUUACUGGGCGUAAAGCGCGCGUAGGCGGUCUGAUAAGCCGGUUGUGAAAGCCCCGGGCUCAACCUGGGAACGGCAUCCGGAACUGUCAGGCUAGAGUGCAGGAGAGGAAGGUAGAAUUCCCGGUGUAGCGGUGAAAUGCGUAGAGAUCGGGAGGAAUACCAGUGGCGAAGGCGGCCUUCUGGACUGACACUGACGCUGAGGUGCGAAAGCGUGGGUAGCAAACAGGAUUAGAUACCCGAGUAGUC